rnacentral:rRNA from 1 species
GACGAACGCUGGCGGCGUGCCUAAUACAUGCAAGUUGAGCGAUGAAGAUUGGUGCUUGCACCAAUUUGAAGAGCAGCGAACGGGUGAGUAACGCGUGGGGAAUCUGCCUUUGAGCGGGGGACAACAUUUGGAAACGAAUGCUAAUACCGCAUAACAACUUUAAACAUAAGUUUUAAGUUUGAAAGAUGCAAUUGCAUCACUCAAAGAUGAUCUCGCGUUGUAUUAGCUAGUUGGUGAGGUAAAGGCUCACCAAGGCGAUGAUACAUAGCCGACCUGAGAGGGUGAUCGGCCACAUUGGGACUGAGACACGGCCCAAACUCCUCCGGGAGGCAGCAGUAGGGAAUCUUAGGAGAUGGACGCAAGUCUGACCGAGCGACGCCGCGUGAGUGAAGAAGGUUUUCGGAUCGUAAAAAUCUGUUGGUAGAGAAGAAAGUUGGUGAGAGUGGAAAGCUCAUCAAGUGACGGUAACUACCCAGAAAGGGACGGCUAACUACGUG